GACGAAGGGGGCUAGCGUUGUUCGGAAUUACUGGGCGUAAAGCGCGUGUAGGCGGUUGUUCAAGUCGGGGGUGAAAGCCUUGAGCUCAACUCAAGAAAUGCACUCGGUACUGGAUGACUAGAGGACCGGAGAGGAUAGUGGAAUUCCCAGUGUAGUGGUGAAAUACGUAGAGAUUGGGAAGAACACCAGUGGCGAAGGCGGCUAUCUGGACGGUUUCUGACGCUAAGACGCGAAAGCGUGGGGAGCAAACAGG
rnacentral:rRNA from 1 species